UGGGGAAUAUUGCACAAUGGGCGAAAGCCUGAUGCAGCAACGCCGCGUGAGUGAUGAAGGCCUUCGGGUUGUAAAGCUCUGUCUUUUGGGACGAUAAUGACGGUACCAAAGGAGGAAGCCACGGCUAACUACGUGCCAGCAGCCGCGGUAAUACGUAGGUGGCAAGCGUUGUCCGGAUUUACUGGGCGUAAAGGAUGCGUAGGCGGAUUUUUAAGUGAGAUGUGAAAACCCUAAGCUUAACUUGGGGACUGCAUUUCAUACUGGAAAUCUAGAGUGCGGGAGAGGAGAAUGGAAUUCCUAGUGUAGCGGUGAAAUGCGUAGAGAUUAGGAAGAACACCAGUGGCGAAGGCGAUUCUCUGGACCGUAACUGACGCUGAGGCAUGAAAGCGUGGGUAGCAAACAGGAUUAGAUACCCUGGUAGUCCACGCCGUAAACGAUGAGUACUAGGUGUAGGAGGUAUCGACCCCUUCUGUGCCUGCAGUUAACACAAUAAGUACUCCGCCUGGGAAGUACGAUCGCAAGAUUAAAACUCAAAUGAAUUGACGGGGUCAUAGCUGUUUCAU
rnacentral:rRNA from 1 species